rnacentral:rRNA from 1 species
AUUGAACGCUGGCGGCAGGCCUAACACAUGCAAGUCGAGCGCGCGGCGGACGGGUGAGUAAUGUUUGGGAAACUGCCCGCUGUAGGGGGAUAACUAUUGGAAACGCUAGCUAAUACCCCAUACUAUCAGAUGUGCCCCGAUGGGAUUAGCUAGUGGGUGGGGUAACGGCUCACCAAGGCGACGAUCCCUAGCUGGUCUGAGAGGAUGACCCGCCACACUGGAACUGAGACACGGUCCAGACUCCUACGGGAGGCAGCAGUGGGGAAUAUGGCACAAUGGGCGCAAGCCUGAUGCAGUCAUGCCGCGUGUGUGAAGAAGGCCUUCGGGUUGUAAAGCACUUUCAGCGGGGAGGCGUUACCCGCAGAAGAAGCACCGGCUAACUCCGUGCCAGCAGCCGCGGUAAUAC